rnacentral:tRNA from 2 species
UCUUCAGUAGUAUAGUGGUCAGUAUUUCCGCUUGUCACGCGGGAGACCGGGGUAAGUACUUCGAGAUUAUCUCAUAAGAUCUUCGCUUAUUAACACCCAUCUUAGGUUCAAUUCCCCGCUGGAGAG